rnacentral:rRNA from 1 species
CCUCCUUCGGGAGGGGAUUAGUGGCGAACGGGUGAGUAACACGUGGGCAAUCUGCCCUGCACUCUGGGACAAGCCCUGGAAACGGGGUCUAAUACCGGAUACGACUCCCGACCGCAUGUCCUGUGGGUGGAAAGCUCCGGCGGUGCAGGAUGAGCCCGCGGCCUAUCAGCUUGUUGGUGAGGUAACGGCUCACCAAGGCGACGACGGGUAGCCGGCCUGAGAGGGCGACCGGCCACACUGGGACUGAGACACGGCCCAGACUCCUACGGGAGGCAGCAGUGGGGAAUAUUGCACAAUGGGCGCAAGCCUGAUGCAGCGACGCCGCGUGAGGGAUGACGGCCUUCGGGUUGUAAACCUCUUUCAGCAGGGAAGAAGCGCAAGUGACGGUACCUGCAGAAAAAGCGCCGGCUAACUACGUGCCAGCAGCCGCGGUAAAUACGUAGGGCGCAAGCGUUGUCCGGAAUUUAUUGGGCGUAAAGAGCUCGUAGGCGGCUUGUCGCGUCGGUUGUGAAAGCCCGGGGCUUAACCCCGGGUCUGCAGUCGAUACGGGCAGGCUAGAGUUCGGUAGGGGAGAUCGGAAUUCCUGGUGUAGCGGUGAAAUGCGCA